ensembl:antisense 3110056K07Rik RIKEN cDNA 3110056K07 gene
GGUUCCCCGGCGCCAUUUUGUCCCGGCAGCAGCAGCCCGCAUCUCUAUCCCAUUUUCUGUGUCUGGAGGGAAGGACGCGGACUCUCUCGGAGUUGUGCUGAAGACAACAGACACCUCCAUGACAACCCAAAGUAUCACAGAGGAAAUGAAAAGCUGUGGACUCAUUCAAAGUUAAUUAAGAUUAGGUAUGACCAUGGAAGACUUGUGUAUGACCAUGGAAGACUUCUAGAGAAUCUUGACUGGUGAUGUGGAAAAAGAGACCCAGAAGAACAAAAAAACAGAGGCUCUGCUAAAGCCUUGCUGUAUAGUACAAGAGAGCACCUUAGUUACAAGGAUGAAAAGAUGGCUUUCUGAAGAGGAACAAGUACUACCAAUCACAAACUAUGAAAGGUGCCAAAGGGUUGACUUCCAACAGGAACUUCAAAGACUAUUUCAGCAACAGACCCUGGAUUGUACCAUACUCAAACUAUUUAAAGGAAUUACUUUCACUUUCCAAUGUAAUAUGGUUCUUAACUGACUUAAAAAAGGAAGACUGCUUCAUAACAGAAGGUAAAUGAAGAGAGAUGAGUCUUGGUAAGAAUGGGAAUAGUAAGAAACAAAAUCCCUUUGUGAGAGAUUAUAGGCACCAUCUUUUAUUAUGAUAGAACCCAGAUUUUUUUCCUUGUUUGUAUUAUCAAAUGCAAAACCUGAAAGAUACUAUUACAUAAAGAACCAUAUUCAGC